rnacentral:lncRNA from 1 species
AGGCCGCGGAUAUAGGUUUAAGUAAAAGAAAUUGUUUAUGUGUUAAACAAAGGGUGAAAAUAAUUGAAGAACUGAAACACGUAGAGAACCAAGAAAAGGAGUACGCACCAGCAAGAAUAAAUGGAAUACAUGUAAUUCAUUGUAUGUAAGCGCCUGCUUGGCAAGGCAAACGGCAAGGCUUAGCCAAAAUCUAAACCAGCAAAAUGGUAGAGAACACAUAAAG